GGGUGUGUGGCUCAGUGGUAGAGUGCUUGCCUGGCAUUCCUGAGGCCCUGGGUUCAAUCCCCAGUACCA
rnacentral:tRNA from 1 species